GAAAUAUAAAGAUAAUAAAAGGGGCUGCUAACUUCUUUUAUAGCAGUUAAAUUCUGUUAAUAUUUCU
rnacentral:tRNA from 1 species